rnacentral:rRNA from 1 species
AGCUCCAAUAGCGUAUACUAAAGUUGUUGCGGUUAAAAAGCUCGUAGUUGGAUUUUGGGGCUCUUAACCGUCGGUCCGGCGUAAGCCGCGCACUGAUAGUUGGGUCCUUCUGUCUGGAGACUGCGUGUCACUCUUCACUGAGUGACGCGUUUGGAUCUAGGACUCUUACUUUGAACAAAUUGGAGUGUUUAAAGCAGGCAUUUUUGCCCUGAACAGGUUAGCAUGGAAUAGCAACAUAGGACUUUGGUUCUAUUUUGUUGGUUUUCGGAACCAAAGUAAUGAUUAAUAGGGACAGUUGGGGGCAUUCGUAUUUAAUUGUCAGAGGUGAAAUUCUUAGAUUUAUGAAAGACGAACUACUGCGAAAGCAUUUGCCAAGGAUGUUUUCAUUAAUCAAGAACGA